rnacentral:rRNA from 1 species
UGGGGAAUAUUGGACAAUGGGCGAAAGCCUGAUCCAGCCAUGCCGCGUGUGUGAAGAAGGUCUUCGGAUUGUAAAGCACUUUAAGUUGGGAGGAAGGGCAGUAAGCGAAUACCUUGCUGUUUUGACGUUACCGACAGAAUAAGAACCGGCUAACUCUGUGCCAGAAGCCGCGGUAAUACAGAGGGUGCAAGCGUUAAUCGGAAUUACUGGGCGUAAAGCGCGCGUAGGUGGUUCGUUAAGUUGAAUGUGAAAGCCCCGGGCUCAACCUGGGAACUGCAUCCAAAACUGGCGGGCUAGAGUAGGGCAGAGGGUGGUGGAAUUUCCUGUGUAGCGGUGAAAUGCGUAGAUAUAGGAAGGAACACCAGUGGCGAAGGCGACCACCUGGGCUCAUACUGACACUGAGGUGCGAAAGCGUGGGGAGCAAACAGG